GCUUAAAGGGGCCGUAGCUUGAUAAUAGGGUCCCUUGAGAAAUCCGCCGGCUUAACUGGCGGGCGUUCAGGGGAAACUUGUUUUCUAGGGACCGGGAGAGGUGAGGGGUACUGCCGGGGUAGGAGUGAAAUCCUGUAAUCCCGGUGGGACCACCUAUGGCGAAGGCAUCUCACCAGAACGGGUCCGACAGUGAGGGACGAAAGCUGGGGGAGCAAACCGGAUUAGAUACCCGGGUAGUCCCAGCUGUAAACUAUGUGCGUUAGGUGUGUCAGUGACCACGUGUCACUGAGGUGCCGAAGGGAAACCGUGAAACGCACCGCCUGGGGAGUACGGUCGCAAGGCUGAAACUUAAAGGAAUUGGCGGGGGAGCACCACAACGGGUGGAGCCUGCGGUUUAAUCGGACUCAACGCCGGGAAUCUCACCGGAUAAGACAGCUGAAUGAUAGUCGGGAUGAAGACUCUACUUGACUAGCUGAGAGGAGGUGCAUGGCCGUCGUCAGUUCGUACUGUGAAGCAUCCUGUUUAGUCAGGCAACGAGCGAGACCCACGCGAGCAGUUGCCAGCUUGACCUUCGGGUUGAUGGGGACACUGCUCGGACCGCCUCUGCUAAAGGGGAGGAAGGACUGGGCAACGGUAGGUCAGCAUGCCCCGAAUUAUCCGGGCUACACGCGGGCUACAAUGGACAGGACAAUGAGUUUCGACACCGAGAGGUGAGGAUAAUCUUCUAACCCUGUCCCAAGUUCGGAUUGCGGGUUGUAACUCACCCGCAUGAGGCUGGAAUCCGUAGUAAUCGCGUUUCAACAUACCGCGGUGAAUUUGUUCCUGCUCCUUGCACUCACCGCCC
rnacentral:rRNA from 1 species